UACGGAGGAUGCGAGCGUUAUCCGGAUUUAUUGGGUUUAAAGGGAGCGCAGAAGGGAGAUUAAGUCAGUUGUGAAAGUUUGCGGCUCAACCGUAAAAUUGCAGUUGAUACUGGUUUCCUUGAGUGCAGUUGAGGCAGGCGGAAUUCGUGGUGUAGCGGUGAAAUGCUUAGAUAUCACGAAGAACCCCGAUUGCGAAGGCAGCUUGCUAAACUGUAACUGACGUUCAUGCUCGAAAGUGUGGGUAUCAAACAGG
rnacentral:rRNA from 1 species